rnacentral:tRNA from 1 species
GCAGUGAAAACUGUAGUGGUAAGCAAAACCGUAAACGGGGGUCUCCAAAACUCCAGGUGUGGGUUCGAAUCCUACCAUCUCUGCUA